rnacentral:sRNA from 1 species
AGGUUCCAGGUCUUUAACGUGAGCCCGCUGCAGGUGUGCGGCCCAGUCCGAGACAGCAGAUGAGGAGACUGUCCUUCCUGUUUCGCAGAUGAGGAAACUGAGGCUUAAAGAAGUUUGGCAAAUUGGCUAAGUUCCUACAGCUAUUUCUAUGGAGAACUGCUGAGCCUUCUGGAGCAACAGAAAGUGUUGAGUCAAACCUGUUUCCUUCACUCCCUCACUGCCGCACCUUCCAGAGAAGUAAAAAAAGUCUCCCUACCAACUGACUGAUGAUUACAAUUUUUUUUAAACUGAGAAGCAGAAGUUUUCCUUCAACUGUUAGGUGAUCAAAGGUUUAAAAUACAAAAUACUUUGAAGAAGAUCCAUUAACUAAAAAAUUCAUUCAUUAAUCAGCAGUUAGAGAUUGUGGGAUUAGUGAUAUGCUUUUCUAAAGAGUAGAAAAGUCGAAGAUGUCUAGACAGAACUUAGUGGCUUUGACAGUGACUACCCUUCUGGGUGUGGCUGUAGGGGGGUUUGUCCUCUGGAAAGGCAUCCAGCGCCGCCGAAGGAG